GCUGGGUGCAGUGGUCCAUACCUGUAAUCCUAGUGCUUGGGAGGCUGAGGCAGGGGGAUUGCCAGUUUAAAGUUACCCUCAGCAACUUAAUGAGGCACUAAGCAACUUAGCAAGACCCUGUCUCAA
rnacentral:sRNA from 1 species